rnacentral:misc_RNA from 1 species
AAGUAUGCAAUAUCUCUGAACAAUGCAUCCAAGCUACAUCUUUUUUUUUUCUUUUACAGAACUUAGAUUGCCUAGAUCAUCUAGCUGUUUUUCUGAAACUAAUAAUUGUCCACUGUCAUUGAGUUUAUGAAGUUAAGAGGUGACCUAGGUAUGACUAAAUACUUAUUACUGAUGAUUAUUUCUGGUGUACAUCAAAUUGAAAUG